rnacentral:rRNA from 1 species
UGCAGUCGAACGGUGACGGUCAAGCUUGCUUGGUCUGAUCAGUGGCGAACGGGUGAGUAACACGUGAGUAACCUGCCCCAGACUCUGGGAUAACCCCGGGAAACCGGAGCUAAUACCGGAUAUGACACCAACGGGCAUCCGUAUGGUGUGGAAAGUUUUUCGGUCUGGGAUGGACUCGCGGCCUAUCAGCUUGUUGGUGAGGUAGUGGCUCACCAAGGCGACGACGGGUAGCCGGCCUGAGAGGGCGACCGGCCACACUGGGACUGAGACACGGCCCAGACUCCUACGGGAGGCAGCAGUGGGGAAUAUUGCACAAUGGGCGAAAGCCUGAUGCAGCGACGCCGCGUGAGGGAUGACGGCCUUCGGGUUGUAAACCUCUUUCAGCAGGGAAGAAGCGAAAGUGACGGUACCUGCAGAAGAAGCACCGGCUAACUACGUGCCAGCAGCCGCGGUAAUACGUAGGGUGCGAGCGUUGUCCGGAAUUAUUGGGCGUAAAGAGCUUGUAGGUGGUUUGUCGCGUCUGCUGUGAAAAUCCGAGGCUCAACCUCGGACUUGCAGUGGGUACGGGCAGACUAGAGUGUGGUAGGGGAGACUGGAAUUCCUGGUGUAGCGGUGGAAUGCGCAGAUAUCAGGAGGAACACCGAUGGCGAAGGCAGGUCUCUGGGCCAUUACUGACACUGA